rnacentral:rRNA from 1 species
UACGUAGGGGGCGAGCGUUGUCCGGAGUUACUGGGCGUAAAGGGCGUGUAGGCGGUUGGAUAAGUCUGGCGUGAAAUCCCACGGCUCAACUGUGGAAUGGCGCUGGAAACUGUCUGACUGGAGUUCGGUAGGGGUCACUGGAAUCCCCGGUGUAACGGUGAAAUGUGUAGAUAUCGGGGGGAACACCUGUGGCGAAGGCGGGUGACUGGGCCGCAACUGACGCUGAUACGCGAAAGCGUGGGGAG